UCAAAAGGUGACAAUGAGAGCAACUCAUUU
rnacentral:piRNA from 1 species